UGUGUUUUUUAUCAAGUCAAGCGUUGGAUUUUAGUUUUCAUCGCGAACAUUAAUCGAUACAAAGUCAAAACAUACACAGAAUAAAAUGUAAAAAAUUAGCCAAACAUUUGAUUGAGUGAAAAAAUGAGUUUUCCUGGGUCAAUACGACCUUUACGGGACGCUUUAACUACAGUGUUUGUGGUGCCAUGUGCGGUAAUAUUCAUCGUAUCCAAAUGUUUCUUAGUUGGAGUGAAGUAUCUGAAAAAAUUCGGUAAUGCGUUAGCUCAGCACUAAAACGUAAAUUUUCAUUCAUCGAGACACACAUAUAGAGCGGAGGUGCUUCUUGGAAUGAACGAAACAAACCCGAAAUCGAUGAAUGGUCAAAUUUAUUUCAAGUUUUUUAUUAUUGUUAUCGAUUGGACUUGUAAUUAAACAUUAAACUAAUGAGACUGUUUUA